rnacentral:lncRNA from 1 species
CAUUCGGAUCAGAUAUUUCUGAUUCUGAUUCAGAAGACUCGCUUUCAGACGAGUGUUGAUUAAACGAUUUUUUUUUCUUAUUAAAACUUCGAAUGUUUAACGAUUCUGUAAUUUAAUUUCUUUUUAAUAAAAAACAUCGAUUUCAAUUUCUAUUUCAAAAUCGUUUUCUCAAAUAUCGAUUUGUAUUUCAAAAAACGACGAUUCGAACGCACAAUAUAGAAUCCUGUUUAAAAAAAAAAUUAAACAAACAUUGUAUGGCGGAAUUCCGCCAUCUAAACUCUUCUACUUAGUUUUAGAUGGCGGAUUUCCGCCAUCUAAAUAUGGGCACAAUCGCCCACUCCUACGAAUAGAUGGCGGAUAUCCGCCAUCUAUAAACUAAAGGAACCGCCUUUUGUAUUUUAGAUGGCGGAUUUCCGCCAUCUAAUGUUCCAAGGAUAGUCGGCGGACAACCGCCAUCAAUGAAAUUAACCGCCAUCAAUGAAUUGGCGCCAAACUAUUCCCGCGCCAUAUUUUAGAUGGCGGAUUUCCGCCAUCUAAAACUUUUCAAUUCGCGCCAAAAUUUUCAGAUUAGAUGGCGGAUUUCCGCCAUCUAUACAAUUUUUGGUGGGAAAUGGGGAUGGAUAAUAGAUGGCGGUCUUUAGAUGGCGGUUUAGGGGUUUUAAUGGCGGUGUCCAAGAUGGCGGUCUUUAGAUGGCGGAUUUCCGCUGAGGAUCACUUUAGAUGGCGGAAAUCCGCCAUCUAAAGGCCGCCAUACAAGGUCGGAUUUCUUGUAGUGAGAAGCCGACUAUGUCGAUUUGGGGUUUUUAUUAAACCCCAAAACUUACAUGGCGGAUUUCCGCCAUGUAAGUACACUUAAGUGCCGCCAGCACUAAAGUGAAAGUCCGCCCAAUCGAAAUUUGGGCGGGCUUUUUCCGCCCGACUCCCCGAAUACUUAACAUGGCGGAUGUCCGCCAUGUUAAGUCAAUUUAAUCGGGUAAUCGGGUUGAAUAUUGGGGGAGAUUCGAAAUUUUGGGCGGGAUAGUUUAGAUGGUGGAAAUCCGCCAUCUAAACACCGCCAUCGAAAAUACAAUUGAACCGCCGUCUAGCCAAAACCUUUCCUCGGCGGACUAAAAGAAUAGAUAUGACGAUUCGUUCUUACGCCGUCUAAAAGAAGGUGAAGAACAGUUAUAUCCAGGUUGCACUGAGUUUUCCAAACUAUCUUUUAUCUUGGAAUUGUAUCAGUUGAAAUGCGACAAUCAUUGG